CUGAACAAAGUCCCGCACCCCAUGUGGCCUCCCACCACCCUCCAUAGUUGUGGUCGGCUUUACAGCAGCAACCAAACGGCAGUAAAAUACACACCUAAAUCAUCACGCCUCACCACCUCAAAACUCGCCAGAAAAAGAACCAAUGACUACCCAUUAUGAGACAGCAGUGAAAGCGCACAAACACACAUACAAGAAUAGAAAAAUCGGUCAGAAAGAAAAUAAAAAACAAAAGCUAAAAACGUCAAAUCGAGGUCCCGUUUGAGGUGGCUUGAAUCCAUCGCUGCUGGUUGUCCGAGGUUCGGUUCCAGUUGUUGCUUAUCAAGGACCUACUCGUUGGAUUCGAUUUCACGAAAUUGAGGUCAAAGAUUCUUUCCCAGUUUUGUUCUUUUAAAGCUUAUGUCCGGUAAUAUGAUUCUGUGAAUUCCUUCAUUUUUGAUUAUUGAAUAGAAUAUUUAGACUGAUUUUAGCUACGUAGGUUGAAUGGCUAAUCUCUUAUUUGAGCUGAGAGACAGAUAUCAUUAGUUAGCUAAGCGAUUUAAUAGGUUGUAGAACCAAAAAUUGAACAUGAAGAAGAAUUGGACCUUAAACAUAUUACUACAUUUAUUUAAUUGCCUUUUAACAUUGUUAUUAUUAUGUUUAGGCCUUCGAUACUGGUUAGACAAGCCUUAGGAUGUUUCUUAAUUUUGGGGCGAAAGGUCAUUCCCUUAGUUAAAUUUAACCGGGGAAUGACUCAAAGGAUUUGUAUAUAUUUUAUCCUAUUUAUGCCUCGAAGUACAUGUAAAUGAAGGCCAAAGAUUGGAUGACAUGAGGAAGCAUAGAAUAGAACUUUAAAUUUUCUUUUAUUUAUUUUUAUCUUUUUAGGUUAGGAUAACCUCUAGCCUCUUGUGUGUUUAUUUUGUUUUUGUGUUUUUACCUCAUUUGAAUAUUUUGAAAGCCGAUUAGAUGAAGUAUGCAACCGUACUAGUUAUGGGACUUGGGGAGUGCCUAACACCUUCUCCCCAAGUCAAAUGAACCCAUUUACCCUAAUCUCUGGUGCAAACUUAGUUUUGGAGUCUUGAGUGUUUUGAAAGGAAUAAUAUUUGCUAAAAAUGGUGACCUGGCACACCAAAAACAAUGCUAGGUGGCGACUCUGAGUUAUUUCCUUUUGAACACAAAUUUUUUUCACUUUUUAAUUAAAAACCCCUUUUCACGCAUUACUAAAUCACUCUUAUUUUUUUAAAUAGGUUAUUGAAGGUUUUAAAAAAAGUGUGACACUACAUGCGAGGAGGUUAUGGAUAUUGCCUGAGAGAUUGAGUUUGUUCGCCGUCGGGAGCUAGAGGAGAGAGAGGCCAAGAGGCCUCGAGAAUCUGGCAGUUAUAGUGGUGCUCCUUCGAGGGGGCAGUUUCGGCAUGGUAGAGGCCGUCCAUUUAGGCUUGUUCGGCCAGCACGCCAUGUUAUCAUGGGGUGUCAUCGAGUUAGGGUUCUCACAGUUCACAUCAAGUCCAGUCAUCACUUAGUGUCCUCCCAGCUUAGAGUUCUUCCCGUACUCUGUCAGUUCAGGGUUUUUCUACGCCAGGCGCAUCUACUAGUCACUCCAGUGCGAAGGGUUCCCUUCAGUCCUCUUCCCCAGCACCUGGGAGUUGUUAUGAGUAUGGCAAGGUGGGCCACAUGUGGAGCCAGUGUCCUCAUCGUGUUGCUAGUUCAUCCCAACAGAGGGGUCAGUCAUUGGCUUCAGUGCCAAUUGCUCCAUCACCACCCACCUAGCCAUCUAAGGAUAGAGGUCAAUCAGCCAGUGGUCGCCCCAGAGGGGGAGGUUGAUCAGGGUGCGGUCGGGCCCGUUUCCAUGCUCUUCCAUGCAAAACCGAUGCUAUUUCUUCAACUAUUGUUAUUACAAGUAUUGUUUCAAUUUGGCACAGAGAUGCCUCUGUAUUAUUUGAUCCUGGAUCCACCUUUUCUUAUGUGUCAUCAUACUUUGCUCAUUAUUUGGAUAUGCUCUGCGAGUUUCUUGCUUUACCUAUUCAUGUAUCUAACCCGAUGGGUGAUACUGUUAUUGUAGAUCGUGUGUACCAGUCGUGUGUGGUGAGUGUUGAGGGUCUGGAGACCCUAGUUGACCUUUUAUUAUUGAGUAUGGUAGAUUUUAAUUUCAUUUUAGGCAUGGACUGGUCAUCUCCGUGUCGUGCUAUACUAGAUUAUCAUACUAAGGUAGUCACUUUGGCUAUGCCGGAUGUGUCAUUGAUCGGGUGGAGAGGUGUGAUCGAUCAUGUUCCUAAUAGAGUGAUCUCUUUCUUGAAGGCCCAACGUAUGGUUGGGAAGGUUUGUCUUUCGUAUCUUGCCUUUGUGAGGGAUAUCGGAACUGAGGCUCCCUGAAUUGAUUAUGUUCUAGUUGUAAGGGAUUUCCCUAAUGUAUAUCCUGUAGACCUGUCGGAUAUUCCCCCUGACAGGGAUAUUGAUUUCGGUAUUGACCUGGUGCCGAGAAUUCAGCCCAUUUCCAUUCGAUCGUAUCUUAUGGCAAUAGCGGAGUUGAAGGAAUUGAAGUAGCAGCUUUAGGAAUCCUAGAUAAGGGGUUCAUUCAGCCUAGUGUGUCACCUUGGGUGCACCCGUUCUAUUUGUGAAGAAGGAGGAUGGCACAAUGACAAUGUGUAUUGAUUAUAGGUAAUUGAACAAGGUAACAAUUACGAACAAGUAUCAUUUGCCUCGCAGUGAUGAUUUACUCGACCAGCUUCAAAGAGAGAGGAUAUUCUCCAAGAUUGAUCUCCGUUCAGGUUAUCACCAAUUAAAGAUCAGGGAUUCGAAUAUUCUUAAGAUGACUUUCAGGACCCAAUAUGGUCACUACAAGUUCUUGGUGAUGUCUUUUGGGAUGACUAAUGCCCUAGCAGCAAUCAUGUAUUUGAUGAACAUUGUGUUCCGGCCUUGUCUUGAUUUGUUUGUCAUAGUCUUCAUUGAUGAUAUUCUGGUAUAUUCACGCAGUCAGGAGGAGCACGCGAAGCAUUUGAGGGUGGUAUUGCAGAGACUAAGGGGGAGAAGCUCUAUGCAAAGUUCUCCAAAUGUGAAUUCUGGCUUAGUUCAGUGGCUUUCUUAGGGCACGUGGUGUCCAGCGAGGGUAUUCAGGUUGCUCCAAAGAAGAUAGAGGCGGUUUAGAGUUGGCCUAGAUCGUCCUCAGCUACUAAGAUUCGUAGUUUUCUUGGUUUGGUGGGCUAUUAUUUCCAGUUUGUUCAGGGAUUCACAUCUAUCUUAUCGCCCUUAGCCAAAUUAACUCAGAAGGGCGCUUCAUUUAUAUAGUCGGACGAGUGUGAGGAGAGAUUUUAGAAGCUCAAGAUAGCUUUGACCAUAGCUCUAGUGUUGGUUUUGCUAUCAGCUUAAGGUUCAUAUACAGUGUAUUACAAUGCUUCGCGAGUAGGGAUUGGUUGCGUGUUAAGUAGGAGGGUAGAUUUAUUGCUUAUGCUUCUCGUCAGUUGAAGCCCCAUGAGAAGAACUACCCCGUUCCGCUUUAGAGUUGGCUGCCAUAAUUCAUGCAUUGAAGAUUUGGAAGUGUUACUUGUAUGUAUCUUGUAAGGUAUUCACUGAUCAUCGCAGUCUUCAGUAUUUGUUCAAGAAAAGGAUCUUAAUUUGAGGCCGUGGAGAUGGUUAGAGUUACUUAAGGAUUAUGACAUCACUAUAUUGUACCAUUUGGGAAGGCCAAUGUGGUGGCCGAUGCCUUGAGCCGAAAGGCAAUGAGUAUGGGGAGUUUGGUAGAUAUUCCAGUUGGGGAGAGACCUCUUACAGUUGAUCUUCAAGCCUUGGCCAAUCGGUUCGUGAGGUUAGAUAUUUCGGAGCCCAGUCGAGUAUUGGUUUGUGUGGUUUCUCGGUCUUCCUUAUAUAAGCGCAUCGGAGAGCAUCGGUAUGAUGAUCCGCAUUUUCUUUUCCAUAGGUACAGAGUUCAACAUGAUGAUGCCAGAGAUGUGACCAUUGGUGAUGAUGGGGUGUUGAGGAAGCAUGGCCAAAUUUUGUGCCCAAUAUGGAUGGGCUUCGGGAGUUGAUUCUGGAUGAGGCCUAUAUCUCACAGUAUUCCAUUCAUCCGGGUGCCACAAAGAUGUAUCAGGAUUUGAGGCAGCAAUAUUGAUAGAGGAUAAUGAAGAAAGAUAUUGUGGGACUUGUAGCCCGGUGUCUGAAUUAUUAGCAGGUGAAAUAUGAGCAUUAGAUACCGGGUGGCUUACUUCAGCAUAUGGAUAUUCCUAAGUGGAAGUGGGAGAGAAUCAUUAUGGACUUGGUUGUUGGAAUUCCACAGACUUUGAAGAAGUUUGAUGCUAUUUGGGUGAUUGCGGAUCGGCUGACCAAGUCCGUACACUUCAUUCAUAUGUGUACUGCCUAUUCUUCAGAGCAAUUGGCAGAGAUCUAUAUCCAAGAGAUUUUUAUCUUGCACGGUGUUACGAUUUCUAUCAUUUUUGAUAGGGGUACUCAGUUUACUUUACAGUUUUGGACGUGCAAAGAGAGUUGGGUACUCAGGUUGAGUCGAGCACACCUUUUCAUCCUCAUACGGAUAGGCAAUCCGAGCGUACUAUUAUGAUAUUAGAGGACAUGUUACGUGCUCGUGUCAUUGACUUUAGAGGAUCAUGGGAUGAGUUUCUACCGAUGGCAGAGUUUUCUUACAACAAAAGCUACCGGUCGAGUACUCAAAUGGCUCCAUAUGAGGCUUUGUAUGGGAGGCGGUGUAGAUCUCCAGUUGGUUGGUUCGAACCCGGUGAGGCUAGGCUAUUGAGGACUGAUUUGGUGCAGGAUGCUUAGAAGAAGGUGAAGGUGAUUCAGGAGAGGCUUCACACAGCGCAGUCGAGGCAAAAGAGUUAUGCCGAUAGGAAGGUUCGAGAUGUGUCCUACAUGGUUGGUGAGAAGGUUUCGCCCAUGAAGAGUGUUAUGAGAUUUGGGAAGAAAGGGAAAUUGCGUCCUCAGUUCAUUGGGCUUUUUGAGGUGCUUAGGAGGAUUAAGGAGGUGGAUUAUGAGGUUGAUUUUCCACCCAGAUUGUCGAGUUUGCAUUCGGUAUUUCAUGUUUAUAUGCUCUGGAAGUAUAUUAGGGAUCCGUCUUAUGUUCUGGAUUUCAGCAUGGUUCGGCUGGAUGAUGAUUUGACCUAUGAUGUGGAGCCAAUAGCUAUUUUGGGUUGCCAGGUUCGGAAGUUGAGAUCAAACUAUAUAGCUUCAGUAAAAGUGAAGUGGAGAGGUCGGCCCAUGGAGGAGGCUACCUGGGAGACCGAGCUUCAGGUAUGUUUCUUGACUCGUUCGAGGACGAAUGUUUUUUUAAGUUGGGGAGGAUGUGACAACCCGACCAAUUGACUCAUGAGUUACCACUCCAUUUUUUCCCAUUUCUACUUCUUUAGGCUUUGUAAUCCGUGUUUUUUGGCAUCGGGUUGGUCGAAUCAAAUCCGGAAUGAUUUGAUAAGGUUUGAGACACUUAGUCUCUUUUAAGAAGGUUUAAGUUGGAAAAGCUAACCGGAUGUUGACGUAUGUGUUAGAGGGCUCGAAUGUGAGUUCUGAUGCUUCGAUUAGCAUCGGGAGGUGAUUUAUGACUUAGGAGUGUCAUGGGAAUGGGUUUGAGGUCCGAAGUAGAAUUAGGCUUGAAUUGGCGAAGUUGAUAUUUUGGCGAUUUCCGGUUGCUAGGCGAGAUUUUGAUAUAGGGUUCGGAAUGGAAUUCUGAGAGUUGCAGUAACUUUGUUGUGUCACUUGGGAUUUGUGUGUAAAAAUUUCAGGUCAUUCAGACGUGGUUUGGUUGGGUUUUUUACCAAAAUCAUAUUUCAGAAGAUAUUACAAACUUAGGCUUGAAUCCGAUGUGUUUUGAGUGAUUUGAUGUUGUUUGAGGUGUUUUGAUGAUUGGAACAAGUUUGAAUAAGGUAUUAGUAUGUGUUGGUGCCUUUUGUUGAGGUCCCGGGGGCCUCGUGUGAGUUUUGGGUGGUCAUUCAGAUCACUUGGAGUUUGAAAAAUUGCAGAAAAUUGCAGGUUCAGCUGUGUAGGAUUUUUGCCCUUCGCGAUCGCGUAGGGGCAUCGCGAUCACGUAGUAGGAUUUGAGGAUGUUGUCUGGUUGUUCUUCGCAUUCAUGAAGUGGAUCUCGCGAUCCCGUAGAUUGAUAAGGUGGUGCAUCGCGUUCGCGGGCAUGUAGUCGCGAUUGCGUAGGGUCUUUUUAUCAACUGGUCUGAGGUCGUGGUUGUUCUUCGUGUUCGCUGAAGAAGGUAUGUGUUCACGAAAGAUAAGGUUGAGGAAACAUCGUGUUCACGAUGCCCUUAUCGCAUUCGCAUAGAGUAAUUUUUGGAACCUGGAGAAUUGUUCUUCGCGAUUGCGAGGGUUGUCCCACGAUCGCGAUGAAGAAAAUGAGGUCAGGGCAGAAUGUAUUUAAACUCGUCUUAUUUGCAAAUGUGGGUCUAUUUUCACCUAUAGUUGUAUGUGUUUGGAGAUUCUUGAAGGAUAUUGAAGAUGGAUCGUCAGGAGGUAAGAUUCUUGGACUAAAAACUCAAUUAUUAUGUGAAUUCCACCUAGAAAAUCAUAAAAGCUAAGCUUAAAAUUGAAGAACUAGGUCUUCAGAAAUUGUACUUUUUAUUUGGGAUUUGAAAGACCCUUUGGGGUUGGAUUUGAGAACUUUUGAUAUGUAUGAACUCGUGGGGAGAUAAGGAAUCUAAUGAUGUGAAAAUUUUUUAAUUUCGAGAAGUGGACCCGGGGCUCGGGUUUUGGUCAAUUUUAGGAAUUUUGGUAUUUUUCGAUAGUUUUCGCUUGGGCUUUGUUCCCUAAGCAUAUUUUGACAUCAUCAUUCUGAUUUGGAUAGAUUCGACGCGCAUGGAGGCCAACUUGAGGGGCAAAGGCAUCGCGAGCUAGAGGCUUAGCUGGUUUGAAGUAAGUAAUGAUUGUAAAUGUUGUUCUGAGGGUUUGAAACAACGGAUUGCAAAUCGUAAUGCUAUAUUGAGAUGAGGAACACGCUUGAUGACGAGUGUGGAGUCGUGAACUAUUGGGGAUUGUGACUUGGUCCAUCCCAAUUGAUGAUUUUAGCGCACAUUUGAUUGGAAAACUAUUUGUCGUCAUCAUAUAUUGGGCUGAAUGCCAUAUUUGGGCACCGUGCCAACUAUUUGAACCUUUCGGAGCUUUUAUUUGAUAUUUCCUCACUGAUUUGAUUUACUACUUGAACUCAGUCAUGUUAUUUUUCACUGUUUUACUACUCAGCUACUUCUACUCAGAAUUGAGACUUAAGUGAUAUUUUAAAUGAUGUUUGGGCUAAGAAAUACUAUUUUACUAUCGCCCGAGGAGCUCGUGAUGAUUUUUGAUUGAGUAAGGCCGAUGACUUGUAUUAUGAGGAAACACUAAUACUGAUUUGAGGCCGAGGGCCUGAGAUAUAUAUGCCAUGAGGUAGCUUGAUUAAUAUGAGGCCGAGAGCCUAGAUUUGAUGCCCUGAGAAGGCUUGUUAUUGCGCUUGGGCUGUCAGGGGCCCUUCCAGGAGUCUGCACACCCCCAGUGAGCAACGGGUACCCAUUGUGAUGUGAGAUUGAGCCUGAGAGGCUGUUAUUAUUCUCAUAUGUUGCCCGAGGGGCGGAUAUAGUGAUAUUGUGCCCGAAGGGCAAACUUCUGUUUGUUUACUUUACCUUAAUUACCUGUAAAUUUAGUGUUUACUUGUUGAAAGAUGAUUUUACUUGAUUUUCCACUGGUUUACUAUUUUCAAAUGAUUUUACUGCCUCAUUAUAGAAUGCCUUGUGCAUUGCAUGUUUUCUUACUUUCAGUCGUUAUUUACAUUUGUUACUCAUUGAGUUGGAGUACUCACUUUACUUCCUGCAUCCUAUAUGUAGAUUCAGGCGUAGCUGGCUCCGCUCCUGAGUGCUGAUUCCUCCAGUUCCAGAUAAUUUUUCAAAGACUGCGAGGUAGUUGUUGCCGUCCGCAGCCGGUGUCUCUUCUAUCUUGUCAUUUCUAUUUCCUUUCAAACAAUUGUACUAGUUAUUGGACUUAGCAGACUUGUAUUAUGGCCUAUAGAUGCUCGUGACUUGUGACACCUCGGUUAGGGCUGUGUCGGGUGUAUUUCCGCAUUUAAUCGAUAUUUUGCGUUAUUUAGUACAUUUAAAUCAUGUUUAGAUUAUUUUUAUGUUAAUUAUCUUUUUUUUUUAAAGUGAAUUGGUUUUAAAUGGCUAGCCUUGUCUUCAUGACAGGAUCCAUCACGAUCGGAUUCGGGGUUAGGGUCGUGACUUGCACCCUGUGUGCAGAUUCAGGCGUAGCUGGUUCCAUUCUAGAGUGCUGAUUUCCUCCAGUUGCAGGCGGGCCUUUCGGAGAUUACGAGGUUGUUGUUGAUGUCCGCAGCCCCGUGUCUCUACUCCUCUAUCAUUUCUGUCCCUUUUCAAAUAUUUGUAGUAGUUUAUGAUUAAGUAGACUGUAUUAUGGCUCAAAGAUGAUCGUGACUUGUGACACCCCGGUUAGGGCUAUGUCGGGUUGGAUUUUCCAUAUUGUUAUCGAUAUUUUCCUCUGUUUAGUGUAUUUUAAUCAUGUUUAAAUUAAUUUUUUAUGUUGGUUAACUGCUUUAAAA
rnacentral:lncRNA from 1 species